rnacentral:rRNA from 1 species
AUUGAACGCUGGCGGCAGGCUUAACACAUGCAAGUCGAGCGGAGCGAGGGUGCUUGCACCUUAGCUUAGCGGCGGACGGGUGAGUAAUGCUUAGGAAUCUGCCUAUUAGUGGGGGACAACAUUCCGAAAGGAAUGCUAAUACCGCAUACGCCCUACGGGGGAAAGCAGGGGAUCUUCGGACCUUGCGCUAAUAGAUGAGCCUAAGUCGGAUUAGCUAGUUGGUGGGGUAAAGGCCUACCAAGGCGACGAUCUGUAGCGGGUCUGAGAGGAUGAUCCGCCACACUGGGACUGGAACACGGCCCAGACUCCUACGGGAGGCAGCAGUGGGGAAUAUUGGACAAUGGGCGGAAGCCUGAUCCAGCCAUGCCGCGUGUGUGAAGAAGGCCUUUUGGUUGUAAAGCACUUUAAGCGAGGAGGAGGCUCUUAAGGUUAAUACCCUUGAUGAGUGGACGUUACUCGCAGAAUAAGCACCGGCUAGCUCUGUGCCAGCCGCCGCUGUAAAAC